rnacentral:misc_RNA from 1 species
GAUGAAGAACGCAGCGAAAUGCGAUACGUAAUGUGAAUUGCAGAAUUCAGUGAAUCAUCGAAUCUUUGAACGCAUAUUGCGCUCUCUGGUAUUCCGGAGAGCAUGCUUGUUUGAGUAUCAGUAAACACCUCAACUUCCAUAUCUUUUUUGAAAUGGGAGUUGGACUUGAGUGAUCCCAACGCUUUUCCUCACCGAAAAGUGGCGGGUUACUUGAAAUGCAGGUGCAGCUGGACUUUUCUCUGAGCUAUAAGCAUAUCUAUUUAGUCUGCCUAAAAAACAGAUUAUUACCUUUGCUGCAGCUAACAUAAAGGAGAUUAGUUCUUGUGCUGACUGAUGCAGGAUUCACAAAAACGGCUUCGGCCGACUUUGUAAACUCGAUCUCAAAUCAAGUAAGACUACCCGCUGAACUUAAGCAUAUCAUAAGCGGAGGA